ensembl:lncRNA
UGCUUAACCUGGAAGACAGCCACGCCAAUGUGUCAGAGGAAACACCGUUCAACUGACGACCAAGGUCAGCCUGCAGGCGCCCGGCCUGCCCCAAGAAGUUGAGAGAGCUAAAGCCCCUCCAGCCAAACCCUCCCCUAACCCAGACGACGCUGGGCCAAUUGUGCACUGCCCUAUGGGACUCUCGAUCAAGGACGGUUGUGAUACAGCCCGGGAUCAAAUCCGGGACAGUAGUGACGCCUCUAGCACUGUGAUGCUGUGCCUUAGACCUCUGUGCCACUCGGGAGUCCAAGAGUGCACCAGUCUAGACCAGUCUAGUGACUGCAAGAACUGAGCCACUCUAGCGACUGCAAGAACUGAGCCACUCUAGCGACUGCAAGAACUGAGCCACUCUAGCGACUGCAAGAACUGAGCCAGUGCAGCAGCUAGUAGUAUAAGAGGCCACCGCCUUCUUUAAAAUAUACUUCUACGAAAAAGAGCUCUCUUAGACAUGGGAUUCUCUGUCGGCGCGUUCCUCGUCCCAGGCCCAAUAUACCACCGUCGUCCAUGAAGAAAGAAGAGACCAAGAGAAUAGCAAAGAUAUUUGCAUCUCAUUUUAAAGACUAAUAUUAGCACUUUCUUUAAAUGCUAUUUGAUAUUGUGUGUCGUGCUGUAUAUACGGUUGGGUGUAUGUUUUCUAAAGGUUUAUGAAUGACCACACAUCUUGAUUACAUAAGUGGCAGCUCAUGGACAGUGCUUUCUAAUUAUGUAAAGAAUAUGUACAUUUCAUUUAAGUAGUUUUUCUAUUGUUUUUAUAAAUUAAAUGGUUUUGCCAGUGUAACUGAUAUUUUAUUUAUUUAUUAUUAGGUGUGUACCCAUGAUCACUGAUGUGGGAGACUCACAUAGCCUUUUAAGGAUUAUUGUCACAGGGGAAAACAUUUUUUCUAAUAGUCAAAAGGGUAUCAAGUGUUGACCCCCUUGUCCAUUAGUCCUUGUUUUUCCAACAAAGUGAUGAACAGUUUGUUCUUAAAGUGAUGUCACCUUUGUUUGGAUUUCAGUAGCUGUCAUGGUAAGUGGGCUGGUGUUAGGAUAUGUAUGUAAUAGUUGUAUGUUGUUCUAUUCUCUGCGUCACCAGGCAGUCACACACUAUUCAAGAGCCGCUUCUGUUCCUGAAACCAGAGACUAGGAACUUCUGACAGUGAAAACAUGCACUAGCUCAGGCACACAGCCUCUCAGGGACAUGUAUGGAUUGGCUCAGCGGAUGGGUGCAUGGGCGUUUUUAUAUAUAUAUAAUUAUGGAGUGUUACAUAAUUAUUAUAAAGUCUAAAUUAGCUCUGUGCUAUUUCAACAAGUCUUAUUGCCUUGGCUCCCUGCUGAAAUGAAAUUCAUUGGAUGUAAUACCUUUUGAGUUUAAGACAACUACUGUAUCUUGCAUAUCGGCUGUUCAUUGUAACUGAAAAUGACCAAUUACAUAAUAAAUGAUGUAUCAAAGAGUGUUGCAUUUUUGCGCAGAUAUAAUUAAAUGCAUGUUUUUUUAAGGUUCAACAGAACAUUGACUGUUGUAAACUGAGGCUGACUGACAUAAUGUCGCAUACUGUCUUGUACUCCCAAAAGGGAGAAAUAGUUUACAUGAACUUUCAUCAUGGUUUGAACAUUUUUGGAGUAAUUUUUUUAAAUAAAAAAAAAACCUAAAUGCAGUUGAAAGUGUG